rnacentral:rRNA from 1 species
CGAUCCAACUGGGAUUGCCCUAGUAACGGCGAGUGAAGCGGCAACAGCUCAAAUUUGAAAUCUGGCCCUUUCAGGGUCCGAGUUGUAAUUUGCAGAGGGCGCUUUGGCUAUGGUAGCGGUCUAAGUUCCUUGGAACAGGACGUCACAGAGGGUGAGAAUCCCGUACGUGGCCGCCCACCUUUGCCGUGUAAAGCCCCUUCGACGAGUCGAGUUGUUUGGGAAUGCAGCUCUAAAUGGGAGGUAAAUUUCUUCUAAAGCUAAAUACCGGCCAGAGACCGAUAGCGCACAAGUAGAGUGAUCGAAAGAUGAAAAGCACUUUGGAAAGAGAGUCAAAUAGCACGUGAAAUUGUUGAAAGGGAAGCGCUUGCAGUCAGACUUGCCCGCAGUUGCUCACCCCGGCUCCCGCCGGGGGCACUCUUCUGCGGGCAGGCCAGCAUCAGUUUGGGCGACCGGAUAAAGGCCUCUGUCAUGUAUCUUCCUUCGGGAUGACCUUAUAGGGGAGGUGUAAUGCGGCCAGCCCGGACUGAGGUCCGCGCUUUUGCUAGGAUGCUGGCGUAAUGGCUGUAAGCGGCCCGUCUUGAAACACGGACCAAGGAGUCUAACAUCUAUGCGAGUGUUUGGGUGUCAAGCCCGGGCGCGCAAUGAAAGUGAACGGAGGUGGGAACCCUCGGGUGCACCAUCGACCGAUCCUGAUGUCUUCGGAUGGAUUUGAGUAAGAGCAUAGCUGUUGGGACCCGAAAGAUGGUGAACUAUGCUUGAAUAGGGUGAAGCCAGAGGAAACUCUGGUGGAGGCUCGCAGCGGUUCUGACGUGCAAAUCGAUCGUCAAAUUUGGGCAUAGGGGCGAAAGACUAAUCG